UACGGAGGGUGCAAGCGUUAUCCGGAUUCACUGGGUUUAAAGGGUGCGUAGGCGGGGAUAUAAGUCAGUGGUGAAAGCUCCGGGCUUAACUUGGAAACUGCCAUUGAUACUGUAUAUCUUGAAUGUCGUAGAGGUUAGCGGAAUGUUGCAUGUAGCGGUGAAAUGCUUAGAUAUGUUACAGAACACCAAUUGCGAAGGCAGCUAACUAUGCGAUGAUUGACGCUGAGGCACGAAAGCGUGGGGAGCAAACAGG
rnacentral:rRNA from 1 species